rnacentral:rRNA from 1 species
GAGGUAGUGACAAGAAAUACCGAUGCGGGACCCUACGGGUGCCGCGUUCGGAAUGAGUACGAUUCGAACCACCUAACGAGGAACGAUCGGAGGGCAAGUCUGGUGCCAGCAGCCGCGGUAAUUCCAGCUCCAAUAGCGUACGUUAAAGUUGCUGCAGUUAAAAAGCUCGUAGUUGAACGUUCGGGUUCCGCGGGACGGGGCCGCCCCGCGAGGGACGGCGCCGCCCCGGGGCUCGUGAUAUCUCAUCUCGCCGCCCGUCGCGAGGCGGACGGAGGGAUGGAUGAGGUUACCUGGAAAAAAUCGGGGCGAUCUAGGCGGGCGAACCUCGCCAACGAACGAUCGGACAUGGGAUAACGGAAGAGGGCGUCGGCUCGACUUCGUCGGUUCCUCGGGCCGAGGCACGUACGGUGAAUAGGGGACGGUCGGGGCCGCCCGUACCGGGUCGUGAGAGGUGAAAUUCUAGGAUCGACCCGAGACGAACCGCCGCGAAAGCAUUCGGCAAGGACGCUUUCAUUAAUCAAGAACGAAAGUCGGGGGAUCGAAGACGAUCAGAUACCGUCGUAGUCCCGACCGUAAACGAUG